CAACCCAUUGAGCUUUAUGUGCAGGAUUUCCUUCGGUAUAGUAUAGUUUUGUGGCUCUCCCCUUACAGUUGAGGAGGUCACUACUCCAAAGGUGUCCAGCUCCUUUCCGUUCUUUGGUCUCUGUACCUGAGCUUCAUCAGAAGAUGGCCUCCAGCCCAGUGCCACUGCACAAGAUGGCCGCCAGCCCAGUGCCACUGCACAAGAUGGCCACCAACCCAGAGCCACUGCACAAGAUGGCCGCCAGCCCAGCACCUCUGCACAAGAUGGCCGCCAGCCCAGCGCCUCUGUACAAGAUGGCCGCCAGCCCAGCGCCCCAGCAUGAAAUGGCAGCCACAGUUGAUCUUCCAGAGUCAAGUCAGGUCCCCGUUGAUCUUUCAGAGUCAAGUCAGGUCCCCGUCAAGUCACCAGAGUCAGGUCAGGUCCCUGUUUGUCUUCCAGAAUCAGGUCAAGUCCCCGUUGAUCUUCACAAAUCAAAUAAAUUCACUAUUGAACUUCCAGAGUCUUGUCACGUCUCAGAUGAACUUCCAGAGCCUCGUCUCAUCCUGUCUGUUGCACCGAGCAAUGUUCUCUCAGCUUGUUGUGUUGCUGUCAAGGAGACUGUUACAGCUGUGGAACCUCCAGGGGUGGUGGCAACUGCUGCAGAACCUUUGGAGAUGUCAGUAGUAUCCAUCCAUGAACUCACCGCCUGUCCUGUCACGGCGAUGGAGGCCGUCUAUGAACUCAUUGCCUGCCCUGUCGUGACCACAGAGGCCAUCCAUGAACUCACGGCCUGCCCUGUCACAGCCAUGGAGACCAUCUAUGAACUCUCGUCCUGCCCUGUCACGGCUAUGGAGGCUGUUUGGGAACUCUCUAACCACUUCUUCACGGUCACAGAAUGUUCUCUGUUUCAGUCCUACCUGACCAGACUUGCUCUCCUGUCCAAUCUUCUUGAAUCUGGUGGUCCUCUGCUCCGCUCUGGUGGGGUUCUGUCCCGUCUGCUCGGCUGUGAGAGUCCUCUGCUCCACCCUGGUAGGCUCCAGUUCUGCCUACUUCACCCUGGUGGGCUGCAGCUCCAUCUGCUCCAUCCCAGUGGGCUCCAGUUCCGCCUAUUCUCAACUAGGAGUGUCUGGAAGCCACUCCUUUGGGGGGGGGGCUAUGUCAAGAUCGUCAGCUGGAGUGCACAUGAACUCCAGUAGAGGGCACUUCACUCAGGACUCUUGUGUCCAUUUCCAUUUCCCAACCUUUGCUUGUUACUGGUUCUGAUUUUGGAUAUCCCCUCACAUACCUGACGCUGUCUGU
rnacentral:lncRNA from 1 species